UAUUAGUUUUAUCCUGGCUAAAAAUUUGGUGUUUUUAAGAAAAUAUGCAUGAAAUGUUUUUAGCGUUAUAAAUAACUUUAAUUUAAAAAAUAAGUCUUUAACCGCAGCAUAAAAUAUUAAACAAUAAUUUCAAGAUUGAUUUAAUCUUAAAAAUAGAUUUGGCAAAUCAUUGUGCCAGCAGCCGCGGUUACACUCUAAAAUCAAGCCAAAUACAUUCAGUAUAUAGUCAUUUAUUUUGAACAAAUAAUUUUUCAUAAAACUGAAAAGUGAAAUUUAGUAUUUUUGCUUAAAAAAAUAUUUGUAAAAUUUUGUAAACUAAGAAAACUAAAACAAAAACUAGGAUUAGAUACCCUACUAUUUUAGAUCUAAUUCUAUAUACUAAAGUAUUAAAAGCUAUAAUCUCCAAAUUUAAAGGAUUUGGCGGUGAUUUAAUCCUAUUAGAGGAACCUGUUCAGUAAACGAUAAACCACGCAAAAUCUUACCUAUUUUCAGUUUGUAUACCGUCAUUAUUAGAUAACUUUCCAAGAAAACAGUUAUUGAGAUAAAAAUUCUUAGUAUAUUAGAUCAAGGUGCAGCUUAUAAAUAGGAAAUUAAUGGGUUACAUUGAGACUUACUUACACGGAUAUAAAACUUAAACGUUUUAUUUAAGGAGGAUUUAAUAGUAAGAUUAGUUUAAUAUGCUAGUUUGACAAUGGACCUAAAUCGUGUACAUAUCGCCCGUCACUUGCAUUACCAAAUGAAAUAAGUCGUAACAUAGUAGAUGUACUGGAAAGUGCAUCUGAUCUUAA
rnacentral:ncRNA from 1 species